rnacentral:rRNA from 1 species
UACAGAGGUCUCAAGCGUUGUUCGGAUUCAUUGGGCGUAAAGGGUGCGUAGGCGGCGCGGUAAGUCGGGUGUGAAAUCUUGGAGCUUAACUCCGAAACUGCAUUCGAUACUGCCGUGCUUGAGGACUGGAGAGGAGACUGGAAUUUACGGUGGUAGCGGUGAAAUGCGUAGAUAUCGUAAGGAAGACCAGUGGCGAAGGCGGGUUGCUGGGCCGACACUGACGCUGAUGCGCGGAA